CUCUUGCAAAGGAACGACAGAAGAAGUCAGUGUUUGAUCCACUCUUACAAGCACUUUUAUAAUUGACACAAGUUGGAGGGGCAACAACGGGACCACCAUCCUUAAUGAAACGUGUUGGAAUGCAACCCAGUCCUGUAUCCUUGUUAGUACAAGGAUUCAGAACAAAGAAGUACCUGCUUUUCUGUCUGAUGUUUGUGAGUUCGAUUUUGUUCAAAUUCCGGGGUCUAAUUCAACAGGCACAUGCUUCAGCUUUACAAGAGAUUCGUUCAAUUAAAAGGUGCCACAUGACAGAUCAUAUAGCAGUCCUCGACAAAAUUCGAUGCUACAGCUACCUGUCAACUACACAAUGUCUUGACAUACUAUCGGUUGCUGAUCCAAAUUUGUCAAACAUUGAGCUAAAAGGCAUGAACACUUCUUCACUUUUCCGACUAGACAUUUAUAUAUUUCAAAUAUAACCUAAGUUACAUAUAACAUAAGGAAGAUAUUUCAAAACUUCUUUAAGACCAACAGUAUUCUCAGAAAAAAUGCUUUACACACAUAUGAUGUUAGAAAAUUACUGAGCAAUGGAUUGUACGUACAAAGUUUAUCGCAGUUGGUGGUACUAUUAUCUGCAAAUACACAUUCAUCUUAUGCUGUUUCGAUUUUAAAAUAGAGAGAAGUGGAAACUUUACAGGUCGUAACAAACCAUAAUAAGGUUAACGUCAUAUUAGGAUUCGCAUCUCUCAAUUUAUGACAAUAUAUUAUGCAUACCACAGUUUAUGACAAGAUAUAUUUUAGUAUUGUAACUUUCCCCCCAUUUGGAUGGGGAUGUACCUCAGGCUACAUCUUAGAAAAUAUAUUUCUCAGUUCAGUUAAUUCGGUUUGCCGGAGUGUGUAGUCAUGUUGAGGAUUUCAAUAAAAGCAAUAAGUCUGUAUUACAAAUAGACUUCUUCAGCAAGGCUACAGAUUUUACAAAUUGCGUUAAUAUUUUGCUAAAUGUUACGAUUGUAAUUCAGAUUUGGAUUUAAAAUUCAGUAGUAAUUUAUAUACACUUUUGUGAGAAGGUGUUUCAAAACCUGAAUUUUAUAUGGACAUGUGGUUUUGAUUUACAACUUUCGUAAGAUUUUGACUCAUGGAUAUUUUCAAACUGUACUUGGUAAAAUUAUUAAACAUUUUAUUAAAAGAGUUUACGACCCAACUGUUUUGAGACAAGCCGCAUGAUAUGUAUUCAAGCCAUUUACAGCUGGGCGCUACGCUUCCCUCUUUGAUUGUGUCUGUCGGGAGAGGAAUAAGACUCUGUGAAAAAUUAGUUUUUAAAUCCCACCAGGACUGAACUUUUUUUUAUUUCAGUCUUCAUGCGGGUUUCGUUGGGCCAGUAAUGGUGUUUUUCUUAAUGCUUUGUCUACCGCAAAGGUAUUAGGUACAUGUGAUUUUGGUUCCUAAGGUUUGCUUUCUGUAUAAUUAUACAUUUUGUAUGUGUGUUUACAUGCCAUGCCUUCUAUUGACAUUGCGUAUGUUAGAGAUUCACCGGGCAGGGAUUACUUUUAUUUACACUGUCCCGUGAAUUUGGAACAUAGUGUGGGUAAGAGUGAGGUAAGGUGGGCAUAAUAAACCGUGUUUUUGCCACUGGCCGUUUCAAGCCGGUGCCCAACUGUGUUCCUUUAUUUAUUCGUUUUGUCCUCGUGUGUUUGCUUUGUAUAUGUGUGAGUGUGUAUAUAUAUGUUGGUAGUGUGCACAUCUUUAUGCUUUGAGUUGAGAUUUGCAGGGGCUGCAUUUUUGGAUUCUGGAACGUGGCAUUCCCUGUUGGAUAUUCAUCCAUGUUUUUUUUUUUUUUUAAAUUCAGACGGAAUUUCACACAGAAGAAAUUAUUGAAAAUCAUGAAGCCUUAGUAUGAUCCAGACAUGUUGAUUUCUUCCUUUUGAGAGAAGUACUUCCAAAUUAUGUUUUGCUACUACAUCACUAUUUCUUUCUCAGACAGUUAAGACCGUGCUUGAAAUAACAGUCAUAUCCACAUCAAUAACUCAUUCAUGCACUAAUCCCGUGACAAUGCGUGAUAACAGAUAAGCGCUCAAAGUCGGAUCCCGUGUUUCUGUGUGAUGAUAACGAUACAUAGCGUAAGUCGGAUCCCGCAUUUAUACGUGAUCAACCCCAUGUUGAAAAACGUUUGCUUGGUUUAAAAUUGUAAACACGAAGGGCUUCCCCAAAUAUUUAACCAAUCAGAUAAAGCUUUAACUUCGCAAUUAUGUAAAAAUAUUUUGAUUGGACAAGAAUAAUUAUGUUUUAUUCUUAUGUAAAUGCAGGAGGUUCAAAACAAAAGAAAAACAAGUGUAAACAUGUCGAGCUUCAUUGACGAUGAUUUUUCGGAUAUAGACGACGCAGAAAUGGACUAUAUGAUGGGAUUUAAUGAUAUCGUGAAUGAUUCGGAUAUUUCUAUGUCUAGUGAGGAUGAUACUGACGACGAUGUGCCUUUAGUGGACAGAAUGGGAACUGACGUAACGAUGAAGUGGGUGGGG
rnacentral:lncRNA from 1 species